GACGAACGCUGGCGGCGUGCCUAAUACAUGCAAGUAGAACGCUGAAGGAGGAGCUUGCUCUUCUGGAUGAGUUGCGAACGGGUGAGUAACGCGUAGGUAACCUGCCUGGUAGCGGGGGAUAACUAUUGGAAACGAUAGCUAAUACCGCAUGAGAGUAGAUGUUGCAUGACAUUUGCUUAAAAGGUGCAAUUGCAUCACUACCAGAUGGACCUGCGUUGUAUUAGCUAGUUGGUGGGGUAACGGCUCACCAAGGCGACGAUACAUAGCCGACCUGAGAGGGUGAUCGGCCACACUGGGACUGAGACACGGCCCAGACUCCUACGGGAGGCAGCAGUAGGGAAUCUUCGGCAAUGGACGGAAGUCUGACCGAGCAACGCCGCGUGAGUGAAGAAGGUUUUCGGAUCGUAAAGCUCUGUUGUAAGAGAAGAACGAGUGUGAGAGUGGAAAGUUCACACUGUGACGGUAUCUUACCAGAAAGGGACGGCUAACUACGUG
rnacentral:rRNA from 1 species